rnacentral:rRNA from 1 species
CCCUUAGAUGUUCUGGGCCGCACGCGCGCUACACUGAUGCAUUCAACAAGCCUAGCCUUGACCGAGAGGUCCGGGUAAUCUUUGAAACUGCAUCGUGAUGGGGCUAGAUUAUUGCAAUUAUUAAUCUUCAACGAGGAAUGCCUAGUAAGCGUGAUUCAUCAAAUCGCGUUGAUUACGUCCCUGCCCUUUGUACACACCGCCCGUCGCUCCUACCGAUUGAAUGUGUUGGUGAGGAGCUCGGACUGGCAGCAGUUGGUGGUUCGCCACCGGCUAUUGCUGAGAAGUCCUCCAAACCGCCCCAUUUAGAGGAAGGAGAAGUCGUAACA